rnacentral:rRNA from 1 species
AUUGAACGCUGGCGGCAGGCCUAACACAUGCAAGUCGAGCGGAGCGGCGGACGGGUGAGUAAUGCCUAGGAAUCUGCCUGGUAGUGGGGGAUAACGUCCGGAAACGGGCGCUAAUACCGCAUACUAUCAGAUGAGCCUAGGUCGGAUGAGCUAGUUGGGGGGGUAAAGGCCUACCAAGGCGAAGAUCCGGAACUGGUCUGAGAGUAUGAUCAGUCACACUGGAACUGAGACACGGUCCAGACGCGUACGGGAGGCAGCAGUGGGGAAUAUGGGACAAUGGGCGAAAGCCGGAUCCAGCCAUGCCGCGGGGGUGAAGAAGGUAUUCGGAUUGUAAAGCACUUUAAGUUGGGAGGCGUUACCAUCAGAAUAAGCACCGGCUAACUUCGUGCCAGCCGCCGCGGUAAUUC